GACAGGUGGGGCUGGCCAGUGAAGGGGUGCGGCCGCCCUCCUGACCGCUGCCUCCCGCCCUGCAGGUGUGAAUGACAGAGGUGGUGCCGUCCAGCGCCCUCAGCGAGGUCAGCCUGCGCCUCCUCUGCCACGAUGACAUAGACACCGUGAAGCAUCUGUGCGGCGACUGGUUCCCCAUCGAGUAAGUCGAGCGGUGCCGGCCGCCCCCCGCUGCAGAGGGUCGGGGUGGGGAGCGGGCAGGGGGACGCGCACGAAGACUUGCUGCGAAGGCCAGGACGGCCUGGCAGCGCCGUGGCGGCCCGGGGUCACGUUGCCUGUCGCUAGGCCUCGGGCCCUGCCUGCCAUCGGGCUCCCUCCACCUCACCGUGUCCCUUGUGUGGAGAGUUCCGCCCUGGGCUUUACGGAGAAUCUUUAGCCGAAAAGCUGCUGAGCGCAGCUGCCGGUGACGAUUCAGAAAACGGAGAAGCAGCUUAAGUGUAACGUGAGGCCUCGGCUGCACACGUCGGGCUCUGGGCCUGCAAGUACUGUAGUAUUCAGCCGGGGAAAACCCUGUGGAAGAGAAGAGGUAUGUUGGUCGAGGAGGGGUUUUUUUGUGUUUGUUUUUCAAAUGAGCUGGCAGAUGAGAAAAGUAGAGUAGGAGACAGCACUGUGCCCAUCCUGCUGCUGUUUAAAGACCUGUACACGAUAAAAGCCUGCGAGGUCAUACAGCACGUCACGGGGUGUUGUCAGUGGUUUGUGGGGAGGUGGUUGCAGCUGCAGCUUCGUCUGUCCGUCUGUCUGUCCUGCUCCUCUAACUGCUUGUGCAGCGGUUGCGGUGGGAGAGAUAGGUGCAACUUCGUAUUUUACAGGCUCCCGGCUGGGAGCUGGGUAAGUGCCAGGGGUGAACUCACAGCGGGCACUGUGCGGGGAGCUGUGCCGACAGUAAAUCCUCAGUUCUCAUCGCAAGGAUUUAUCAUUUAAAAAAAAAAAAAACAACUUUUAAAAAUUAAAAACAAACUAGAUCUUGCAUUUCCAUGAGUCCCGCCCUCUGAUGGGUUGUGUCACCGGCCACGCGCGCAGGGAGGGAGGGGAAGGGCGAGCGGCAGCCUUCUCGGGGUGUGGUCGCAGCGGCUUCAGGGGUCACCGGGGGUACCGUCCUUUCACCCCGUGGUCCCCUGCGUGGGUCAGACCCUGCACCAGGUGGAGCCGUGCUGGGCUGGAGCCUCUGCCUCUCCUCACAGCUUCCUGCGCCCGAGGCCUCAGGUUCCAAUGACGGUGAAGCGAGCUGCAGUCCCAUGGGCUGCGUGGUGGUGGCAGCUCCGUGUCCCGGCUGCCACACCAGCCGAGCGCUCUGGGGUCAGAAGAUGACGGUGCGGGGAGGACCUGGGGAGGGGUGUGGGCGAUGCUCAGGUCCCAUCGAACGUGCCAGUGGGUGGUCAGUGGCCUCUCUGCUAUGUCACCGCGAGGGUAGGGCACCCUUUUCCAGCUCUGGGUCUCAAGAAAGGCAUCUCAGGGUUACCUGCUGUCUGUCCCAAGUUAAAAAACGAACGUACACCCCCAUCAGCCCUCCCGACUGUGUCUCCUGGCUGUGGCUGAGUCUGCCUUUUCAUUACUGCUCCCAGGGCCUUUGCACAAAAUGUUCUCUUUCCUGCUCCCCUGGGCGGGGAGUCUUGUGAACAGCCCCCGGCAACCCUGGCCACACUCUGCCCUUGAGGGCUCGUCCCCAUCGAUACCUGGGAGGUGCAGUGGACCCAGAUGCACUUGGCUGUGAACUUGGCCCACACCUCCAGUCUUGAAGGGGUCUCGUAGAAUUCUUGGAAAUGACCCAAGUGUCUGAGGGUCACCUCUUCCAGCUGCCCCUGCACGUCAUGCUCUCAUGGAGAGAACGUCAUUGGGAGUUUUUUUCCUCUCAUCUCUUACGUGAGGAUAGAAAAAUCAUUUUUCCCGUCAGAAAUCCCCAGUGCCGUCUAGACAGAUUCCUGCUUUAAGAAGACCAUUUGGUGUAGAUGGAGUGGUGGACAGACAGGCUCCUUCUCAGUCAUGGAGCAGUGGGCAGAGCGGCCUCGGGUCCCCCGUGGUUCCGCAGCCAGAAGCCCAGCAUCAGCGUGUUCACCUGACCUUGUCCUCCCCCUCAGGUACCCAGACUCAUGGUAUCGUGAUAUCACCUCCAAUAAGAAGUUCUUUUCCCUCGCCGCCACCUACCGGGGCGCCAUCGUGGGAAUGAUAGUAGCUGAAAUAAAAAGUAGGACCAAGAUACACAAGGAGGUGAGUAUGUGUGGUGAGGAGCUGGUGGUCCCCGUCGCCGUCCGGGCCUGCUGGGGCUUGUGACCAAAGCACGUGCCCUGCUCUGUGGCCCUUUCUCCCGGGAGCCCAGACCGAGUAUGAGCCUCGGGGGUGUACGUGGCACCGUUACCCACGCGUUAAACGAAGGACCUACCGCAGGCCUCCUAACAACUGUCAUUUCAAAGUGGGGGCGGGUGUAAGUGAUGCCCUGAGAAUCCCCGGAGUUGUCAGGGGCUCUGGAAAGAUCUGUGACUUGUACUGGCAGCAGUGUCACGGAACUGCCACCUCUUCCGUGGUUGGUUGAAGGACACGGUCAGUUCCAGAUAGAGGUUAGGGAACAUGGAGAAUUUCCUUUCAUCCGGCUUCACAGACCCCUCCCCGAUCUGAGAACUGGGGGGUCUGUGGGCCCCGUGUCAGCAAGCUCUGCUCUGAACGCACAGUGCGAGGCCACAGCCACAAAUACAUUGUUGCACGUCGUCACGUUGGAUCAAGAUUGUGCCUAAUGAUUUUGGUCAUCUUAGCGACUGAGCUGUGUUUCCCACAUGCGUAUUUACUCCAAGGACAGGAAGGAACCCGCUGACAACCUGCAUUGGUUCUGUCUGUUCAGCUUUGGUUACUUCUUUAAAAGUAGAAGAGGGACAGCUCCCUUUUACAGACCCGACCCACUCGAGCGGACCCCAUCUUGCUUGUGACUAGAUUGUGGCAAAGGUAGUUUCUGUUAGGAGUGACUUUCUAUCCCAGCUUCCUCCUGGGCUUUUUGCUUCUGGUUCGUCUUGCACGGUGGCCGGAUUCAUGACUCUCCUGGACCCAAAUGCCAUCCCCGGAACCAAGGAGCACGCAUGGGUUGGCCUGCCAUGUCACUCUGCCCGGUGUGGGCCGCACGGGGUGCUGGGGGGGGGCACUCGAGCCCCCACCGCCUUUACUCAGAGACCACCUGGGGGCAGUGUAAGGUCCUUGAGACAAACCUUUUCAGACCUCAUCCGGCUGUCUUGUCCCAAGUGCCCAGUACGUGCCCACACCGCGCAGUUGUUCCCUUGUUACUGCUGUAACCUCACACCCUAUGGUCCUGCCACCCCCACACGUCCCCGAGAGGAGCGGCUUUUUGUGUGUGUCCUCAAUUUACCCAUUUGCGCCGCAAAGCCUCGCGCCCUCUUGUCUCUGUGUGUGUGUGGGGGGGUGGGAGCCUGUCCAUCAUCUUUGCUCUGUCCCCUCCUACCCCAGCACCCCCACAGGGGUUGUGGCGGGAGAGUCGGCCCGUGAGAUGUGCCAGCACCAGGACCAGGCCCCUCAGCCGUUAACCUGAUUUUCUUUCUGACUUUUUCUUCAGGAUGGAGAUAUUCUAGCCUCCAACUUCUCUGUUGACACACAGGUCGCAUACAUUCUGAGUCUGGGAGUGGUCAAGGAGUUCAGGAAGCACGGCAUCGGUAAGGCACAGCCGUGCUCACAGUGUUUGGCGUGUGCUCCAGCCACCGUGUCCAGUCAUGUCCCAUGUGCUGGUGAUGUGCCUGUAAAUGUCCCUCGUCCCGCUCUUCCCCCUGUCCUGCGUGGACUUCCAGCCUCCCACCCCUCCCAGCAGGUCCCCGGCCCCACCUCCCUCCACCCCAUUGGCCUUCGACCCCGGCUCCUAGCACCCAGUUGCCAGGUGCAAACAGCAAAGGCCGUCUGGGUGAUGGCUUCAUUCCCAAAUAUGACUUUUUUUAAAAAGUUUAUUUAUUUAUUUUGAGAGAGGGACAGAGCGUGCGGGGGUGGGGCGUGGCAGCAGAGAGAGGGAGAGAGAAUCCCAAGCAAGCUGUGCGAUGUCAGCGCAGAGCCUGAUGCGGGGCUCAAACUCAGGAACCACGAGAUCAUGACCUGAGCCCAAGUCAGAAGCUCAACCGACUGAGCCAUCAGGCGCCCCCCAAACGAUCAGAUUCACAACACUCCCAGAUGUCCUCGUCGGGGAAUGGGCACCUGUCACCACACACACAGUUUAUGUCAGGUCAUGAGGUAUUGCUGAUUAAGAGUAGAAAACGAUUGACAGCCGGUCCUAGCUGCCAUGUACCAGAUGCCCGUCAUGUGCAGGGGGCUGUGCCCCAGGUGCCGCUCCAAGCCCCUGCCCUGCCCCAAGCCCGCAGGCAGCAGUCUCCCUUUGUGACUCAGGCCUGUCCGUUCUACCUUUUCCCUCCACUCAGGUUCGCACUUGGUGAUGUCUGGAAGGUUAGUGAGUCUCCGCCAUGGGCCCAGCCCCACUGAGGGAACUGCCUGACCCCCAUCUGCAGUUCCGGAUGCCUGAUGGUCUGCAGCUAACGAGCCCCAUCUGGCCGUGGCAUUCUGGGGGCUUUGACAGAGCGGUUGCGGGAGUUCCAUCUGGGAUACCAUGGCAGAGAUCUCUGUAGAUCUGUAGAGAUCUCUGGCAGUCUCACUUCCUCAUCUGCCUCCUGCUCCCUGCCUGCCCUGCCGUGCGUGACUGUCGUCCCUUCUCCUGCAGGUUCCCUCUUACUCGAGAGUUUAAAGGAUCACAUAUCAACCACCGCCCAGGACCACUGCAAAGCCAUCUACCUGCACGUCCUCACCACCAACAACACAGCAAUAAACUUCUACGAAAACAGAGACUUUAAGCAGCAUCACUAUCUCCCCUAUUACUACUCCAUCCGAGGCGUCCUCAAAGAUGGCUUCACCUAUGUCCUCUACAUCAAUGGUGGCCACCCUCCCUGGACAAUCCUAUAUCCUUUACUUCUCAGGGGUGAGGGAUAUGGCUUCCUAGCCACAAGGGCGGCUCGCAGGGCCAGGGCCCAUGCACCAGAUGGAGCCGCCGUUGCCUUCCCAUGACUCAGGAGGCCAAGCUCACGGGACGUGCUGUGGGUAGAUCUGGUCGUACUCAAGUGUUUCGCAGACUUCACCCGUCACGAGGUGUGGGUUUUAACCCCCUCUGCCAACGAUCCAUGCUUGCAACAGAUACCGAUUAGGAGCCUCCUUUUCCAGGUGCACAGGAGAUGCACGCAGCUGUCAACACAACAGUGGGUCCCCUGCCGUCAGGGGGCCCGGCCCGUGUGCCGUCAGUCAGGGGAGGAAACAAACAAGGUGAAAAGAAUUGCUGGCUGUUUGCAGCCCUGGGGUUCAGACCUCCCUUUCCUGAGGCGUGUCGCCCAGAGCUGUGUCCCCCCUCACCCCCCACACGCCGCUCCCUCCUCUUUCGCCCUCUCUGGGCAGAAUGGGCAGUUGGGAGGCCAGGAGGCUUCCUAAUAGUUCAGGAUGUGGCUCCAGAAUGCUCUGUGUGAGGGUGAGCCAGCAAGAAGCCGAUGAAGCGAGCGAGGCUAGGGUUUAUCCGUUUUACGGGGACGUAAACAGGAGGGAGAAGCCUGGCCUGCAGGCCUGCAGGCUCCCCGUGCAUGUGCACGUGGGCCUCUUGCAGUUGUCCGGGAGGUCGGCACCGUGACCCCCUCCUUGUCCCAGGGCUCUGCCGUUCCGAUGCCUGAGUACGGGGUCAAGUUGGGACACUUACUCUCCUGCCAGACCUCUCCCCCUGGCGCCCCGUCCCUUUCCACGUGCCUGAGCUCUGCUCACCCAGAAGGUGCUCUCCGACCCAGUGCCACCCUUUAUUUCUUUGCGCGGUGGAGCCCCUCCGGCUCACGAGGCUUUCCAGCACCCUACAGAGGCUUAGCGGGCUUUUGGCCUCCUUCCUGAAUGGCGGCGUCUGCAUGCAGCCCUGCGGCCUACCGCGUGGGCCUGCUGACCGUGCCGCCAGGGGUGCGUGGGCACACGGGGCGAGUCGAUCUUCCUUAACGGAGCCGCACGGACUACAUUCAGCACCUGGGCUCCGCUCUAGCGAACCUCAGCCCCUGCUCCAUCCCGCACAGGCUCUACCGCCAGGCCCACAGCCUGCUCUGCAGCUUCCUGCCGUGGUCCAGCAUCUCCACCAAGGGUGGCCUCGAGUAUAGCCGGACCAUGUGACGCCGGCUGGGCGGCCUCCGCCAGGCCCCACCCUCCGGCACCCCGCAGAACCCGCCUUCCUGGCCGUCCGACUUCCGUCCUCUGCAACAGAGCUGGUGGCCGCUCGCCGGGCCCGUCGGCCUGCCCCAGCUGCAGGCCCGGUGCUACGCGGGCUCGGAGCAGAGCGUCGUGGGGCAUGCCUGGUCUCGGACGGGUAAGCUGGAGCACAUGGGGCGGGGGGACGGGAGCAGAACCCGGUGGGAUGGGGGGAUGGCGGUGCCAGGACAUUAAGCCCGUGGCUCUUUCCGCACCAAAAACAGAAGGGCCUGAAUGGGCGCCUGCUGCGCAGGGAUGUUGGGGAGCAGUGGCAAGAGCUGAAGUAGUCUGACUGACUUUCAGAAACUUCAGGAAGGAAAGCAGGGUCCUUGAGCCCUUGGCCAGGACUUCUGUGUUUUCACUUCUGAGCUCCGAUUACAAGAAGAGAAUGUGUUCAUGUGGUUCCAAUAAUUAAAAAGGUACCAGAUCAGGCCCCUCCUACCCCUCCCCAACCACUCAGCUCCCCUUCUGAGGAGCAUCCAGUGUUUCAGUGUCAUGGCCGUGCUUCCAGGCCCGCGCUAACAGCAGCUGGUGGCGGGGCCUCGUGACCGGGGCUCUGCUCAUACACGGCCACUCCUGAGUGCCAUGCGUGCUAAGGAGAGCUGGCCUCUCCGACCACAGAGCCAGGAGUCAUGGGGACUCCCAAGACCCACCCCUUUCCACGGACACAGCCCAGGGCAGUUGGGUGGUUUGGGCCAAUUCACAUGGGCCGUGGCCACCUAGGCUGAAUCCUCAUCGGUGCCCUGAUCUGUGCAGGGACCAAGGGCAGCUGGGAGCCCCAGGCCGGGGCAGUGCAGGCUUGAGCAGGGCCUUUCCCUGGAGCCCUUCACCCCAGCUCCCCUCGUCUUUUCCACAGGCUUUUCCAGUCCUCCUUUCUUUUCUGGUAACCUGUGGAAACCGCCGCCUCUGCCUGUGUCCUGGUCCUGCCCCCAUGAGCGUGCACCGGCCCCGCUGGCCAGGUGAGGUGCGGCAGCAUCCAUUGUGGUCUGUUCCUUCCACUGCUCCCUUCCCCUCCGAUGCCCAUUCCUUCCAGUUCCUUCCUCCAGAGCCGGAAUGAACUAAUGGACGGCAGGAACCCAAGUGUUGCGGACAGACUUGACCCUGAAGACAGAGGAGCCUCAGAACAACGAGGGUGUGAGAUAAAGGGAGUGCCAGACCCUUGUCCAACACUGGCUCCCAGAAAUCCGGGGUACGGGGAGCAGCCCCUGCCUGUCCAUGGAGGGCUGGCUCACGGUGGGCGGGGCCAGGGAGGCUUUUCCCCCAGGCACAGAGCUCUGGGGCUCGGACCCUGACACGAGAGGUCAGAUAACGCGACCAUUCCCCACUGUUCAGCUGGGAGGUCAGGCCCUCUGGCAGCAUCCCGCGGGGGGCUUCAUACUGUCGCAGAGGGCACGGGGCUGCCCCGGGGAGCUGGGCUGAGGACAGGUGCCAGGGAGGUUCCUGGGGGUCUUCUCCCCAGUCCCCCAAGUCCACCAGCUGCAGCUCCGAAAGGAUGUCUGUCGAAAGGGACCUGGCCUUCGGGGCUGGGGGUUGUCGUGUGCCUUGUGGUCCCUCAGCCCCUGGGGGCAGCGACAGGAGAGGCUCUCGGCGCCAGGAGGUGCGCGCAAACAUCACUUGCUUCUGGCGUCACUCUCACCCCCAUUCCCCUAAGCUGCUUGCUCCCCAAAGCUCCUCUCCAGAGGAGAGGGGGUAGCAGGGCCAGGCCCGGCGUGGCCGCAGCGCGCCGGCCUGAGAGGAGAAGGAGGAACAGCCAGGCCGGGGGGCCUCCGGGGCAGUCACGCUUCCUUCCCUCAGAACUGCACAGUCUGGGACCACCUCCACUCAUGAGGUAGGAGAGAGGGAUCCUCGAGACGAGGAGAAGCCGUAGGCAGGAGACACGCUCUCCCCCCUCCCCCACCUCGUGACUGGUGGUGCCUCUCGGGGUGAGACUCCCCCGCCUGUGCACUGACCUUAGCUUCAUGCUGAGGCCCAGUUUAGUGUCCUCUCUAAUCUGAACCAACGGUGAUUGUAUGAUUUUUAUUUCUGCCCCGAGGGGUAAGGGCAGAGUCUUCUGGAAGGUUUUGCCUUGGACUUUCAUAAUUGAGCUCAGAGGCCUUGCCCUGCCCCCUCCCUCCCUGCCCCCAAUCACUGCAGUGUCCAGCCCAGUGUUGAACAGAUUGUAGUGUUUUGUCUCAUUACAAACAAAUAAACAGACUUUAAUUGG
rnacentral:lncRNA from 1 species